rnacentral:rRNA from 1 species
UCCUAUAUGCAGUCGAGCGAACGGACGAGAAGCUUGCUUCUCUGAUGUUAGCGGCGGAGGGUGAGUAACACGUGGAUAACCUACCUAUAAGACUGGGAUAACUUCGGGAAACCGGAGCUAAUACCGGAUAAUAUUUUGAACCGCAUGGUUCAAAAGUGAAAGACGGUCUUGCUGUCACUUAUAGAUGGAUCCGCGCUGCAUUAGCUAGUUGGUAAGGUAACGGCUUACCAAGGCAACGAUGCAUAGCCGACCUGAGAGGGUGAUCGGCCACACUGGAACUGAGACACGGUCCAGACUCCUACGGGAGGCAGCAGUAGGGAAUCUUCCGCAAUGGGCGAAAGCCUGACGGAGCAACGCCGCGUGAGUGAUGAAGGUCUUCGGAUCGUAAAACUCUGUUAUUAGGGAAGAACAUAUGUGUAAGUAACUGUGCACAUCUUGACGGUACCUAAUCAGAAAGCCACGGCUAACUACGUGCCAGCAGCCGCGGUAAUACGUAGGUGGCAAGCGUUAUCCGGAAUUAUUGGGCGUAAAGCGCGCGUAGGCGGUUUUUUAAGUCUGAUGUGAAAGCCCACGGCUCAACCGUGGAGGGUCAUUGGAAACUGGAAAACUUGAGUGCAGAAGAGGAAAGUGGAAUUCCAUGUGUAGCGGUGAAAUGCGCAGAGAUAUGGAGGAACACCAGUGGCGAAGGCGACUUUCUGGUCUGUAACUGACGCUGAUGUGCGAAAGCGUGGGGAUCAAACAGGAUUAGAU